rnacentral:misc_RNA from 1 species
UCCGGGGCAUCUUGGCGGCAGAG